rnacentral:rRNA from 1 species
CCUACGGGUGGCAGCGGUGAGGAAUCUUGGUCAAUGGGAGAGAUCCUGAACCAGCCAAGCCGCGUGAGGGAAGACGGCCCUAUGGUUUGUGAACCUCUUUUGUCGGAGAACAAAACCCGGGACGUGUCACGGACUGCGUGUAUCCGAAUAAAAAGCAUCGACUAACUCCGGUCCAGCACCCGCGGUAAUACGGGUGAUGCGAGCGUUAUCCGGAUUGAUUUGGUUUAAAGGGUGCGUAGGCGGUCCGUGAAGUUGGUGGUAAACUUGCGGGGUUAAACCCCGUAGAGCCGUUGAAAAUGGCAGACUUGAGUUUGCAAGAAGGACGCGGAAUGCGAGGUGUAGCGGUGAAAUGCAUAG